AGCUUUUAAAUCUGGAUAAAGAUCUGACCAAUAUUAAUGCUGAAGAUACAUAUGUGAGGGUGAUGAGCAGAUCAUAGAGGACAUUCCCACCGAUAACCACCCAGGUUCCUACAAUAAAGGAUCCGCUCAGCGUAUAUAUCUCCUAUAUAAGAUCAUUCUCCUGAUUGACCCUUCAAGGAUGGAUAAGGAUGAGGACAAGAUGGCAGAGAGUAUAAUAAAUCUCACCCUAGAGAUCCUCCUCCGGCUUACUGCAGUGGAAUACACAGUAGUGAAGAAGACCUCUAGUGAGCAUUGUCAGGCCCCG